rnacentral:rRNA from 1 species
UACGAAGGGGGCUAGCGUUGUUCGGAAUUACUGGGCGUAAAGGGCUCGUAGGCGGCCAACUAAGUCGGACGUGAAAUCCCCAGGCUCAACCUGGGAACUGCGUCUGAUACUGGAUGGCUUGAAUCCGGGAGAGGGAUGCAGAAUUCCAGGUGUAGCGGUGAAAUGCGUAGAUAUCUGGAGGAAUACCGGUGGCGAAGGCGGCAUCCUGGACCGGCAUUGACGCUGAGGAGCGAAAGCCAGGGGAGCAAACGGG